rnacentral:rRNA from 1 species
AGAUUGAACGCUGGCGGCAGGCCUAACACAUGCAAGUCGAGCGGUAGAGAGGUGCUUGCACCUCUUGAGAGCGGCGGACGGGUGAGUAAUGCCUAGGAAUCUGCCUAGUGGUGGGGGAUAACGUUCGGAAACGGACGCUAAUACCGCAUACGUCCUACGGGAGAAAGCGGGGGACCUUCGGGCCUCGCGCCAUUAGAUGAGCCUAGGUCGGAUUAGCUAGUUGGUGAGGUAAUGGCUCACCAAGGCGACGCUCCGUAACUGGUCUGAGAGGAUGAUCAGUCACACUGGAAACUGAGACACGGUCCAGACUCCUACGGGAGCAGCAGUGGGGAAUAUU